UACGUAGGGGGCUAGCGUUGUCCGGAAUCAUUGGGCGUAAAGCGCGUGUAGGCGGCUCGGUAAGUCCGCUGUGAAAGUCGGGGGCUCAACCCUCGGAUGCCGGUGGAUACUGUCGGGCUAGAGUACGGAAGAGGCGAGUGGAAUUCCUGGUGUAGCGGUGAAAUGCGCAGAUAUCAGGAGGAACACCAAUUGCGAAGGCAGCUCGCUGGGACGUUACUGACGCUGAGGAGCGAAAGCGUGGGGAGCGAACAGG
rnacentral:rRNA from 1 species